AGAGUUUGAUCAUGGCUCAGGAUGAACGCUGGCGGCGUGCCUAACACAUGCAAGUCGAGCGAGAAGUCAUGGAUGGAAUCUUCGGAGGAAAGAAAUGAUGGAAAGCGGCGGACGGGUGAGUAACGCGUAGGUAACCUGCCCCAUACAGAGGGAUAGCCACUGGAAACGGUGAUUAAUACCUCAUGACACUUUCUCUUCGCAUGGAGGGAAGGUCAAAGAUUUAUCGGUAUGGGAUGGAUCUGCGUCUGAUUAGCUUGUUGGUGGGGUAACGGCCUACCAAGGCGACGAUCAGUAGCCGACCUGAGAGGGUGAUCGGCCACAUUGGAACUGAGACACGGUCCAAACUCCUACGGGAGGCAGCAGUGGGGAAUAUUGCACAAUGGGGGAAACCCUGAUGCAGCAACGCCGCGUGAAGGAAGAAGGCCUUUGGGUCGUAAACUUCUGUUCUGAGGGAAGAAGAAAGUGACGGUACCUCAGGAGAAAGCCCCGGCUAACUACGUGCCAGCAGCCGCGGUAAUACGUAGGGGGCAAGCGUUGUCCGGAAUUAUUGGGCGUAAAGAGUACGUAGGCGGUUUGCUAAGCGCAAGGUGAAAGGCAGUGGCUUAACCAUUGUAAGCCUUGCGAACUGACAGACUCGAGUGCAGGAGAGGAAAGCGGAAUUCCUAGUGUAGCGGUGAAAUGCGUAGAUAUUAGGAGGAACACCGGUGGCGAAGGCGGCUUUCUGGACUGUAACUGACGCUGAGGUACGAAAGCGUGGGGAGCAAACAGGAUUAGAUACCCUGGUAGUCCACGCCGUAAACGAUGAGCACUAGGUGUCGGGAUCGUAGGAUUUCGGUGCCGCAGUUAACGCAUUAAGUGCUCCGCCUGGGGAGUAC
rnacentral:rRNA from 1 species